rnacentral:rRNA from 1 species
GAUGAACGCUGGCGGCGUGCCUAAUACAUGCAAGUCGAGCGAACGGACGAGAAGCUUGCUUCUCUGAUGUUAGCGGCGGACGGGUGAGUAACACGUGGAUAACCUUCCUAUAAGACUGGGAUAACUUCGGGAAACCGUAGCUAAUAACGGAUAAUAUUUUGAACCGGAUGGUUCAAAAGUGAAAGACGGUCUUGCUGUCACUUAUAGAUGGAUCCGCGCUGCAUUAGCUAGUUGGUAAGGUAACGGCUUACCAAGGCGACGAUGCAUAGCCGACCUGAGAGGGUGAUCGGCCACACUGGAACUGAGACACGGUCCAGACUCCUACGGGAGGCAGCAGUAGGGAAUCUUCCGCAAUGGGCGAAAGCCUGACGGAGCAACGCCGCGUGAGUGAUGAAGGUCUUCGGAUCGUAAAACUCUGUUAUUAGGGAAGAACAUAUGCGUAAGUAACUGUGCACAUCUUGACGGUACCUAAUCAGAAAGCCACGGCUAACUACGUG